CAAAUAUUCCCUCCGUCCGGAAAUACUUGUCAUCAAAAUGGAUAAAAGGAAAUGUAUCUAGACGUAUUUUAGUUUUAGAUACAUCUUUUUUAUCCAUUUUGAUGACAAGUAUUUUCGGAUGGAGGGAGUAUUUA
rnacentral:pre_miRNA from 1 species